GGAUCCAGACUUUGAUUAUGGCUCAGGAUGAACGCUAGCUACAGGCUUAACACAUGCAAGUCGAGGGGAAACGAUAGAGAAAGCUUGCUUUUUCUAGGCGUCGACCGGCGCACGGGUGAGUAACGCGUAUCCAACCUGCCCAUCACUUGGGGAUAACCUUGCGAAAGUAAGACUAAUACCCAAUGAUAUCUCAAGAAGACAUCUGAAUGAGAUUAAAGAUUUAUCGGUGAUGGAUGGGGAUGCGUCUGAUUAGCUUGUUGGCGGGGUAACGGCCCACCAAGGCGACGAUCAGUAGGGGUUCUGAGAGGAAGGUCCCCCACAUUGGAACUGAGACACGGUCCAAACUCCUACGGGAGGCAGCAGUGAGGAAUAUUGGUCAAUGGGCGAGAGCCUGAACCAGCCAAGUAGCGUGCAGGAAGACGGCCCUAUGGGUUGUAAACUGCUUUUAUAAGGGAAUAAAGUGAGCCUCGUGAGGCUUUUUGCAUGUACCUUAUGAAUAAGGACCGGCUAAUUCCGUGCCAGCAGCCGCGGUAAUACGGAAGGUCCGGGCGUUAUCCGGAUUUAUUGGGUUUAAAGGGAGCGUAGGCCGGAGAUUAAGCGUGUUGUGAAAUGUAGAUGCUCAACAUCUGCACUGCAGCGCGAACUGGUUUCCUUGAGUACGCACAAAGUGGGCGGAAUUCGUGGUGUAGCGGUGAAAUGCUUAGAUAUCACGAAGAACUCCGAUUGCGAAGGCAGCUCACUGGAGCGCAACUGACGCUGAAGCUCGAAAGUGCGGGUAUCGAACAGGAUUAGAUACCCUGGUAGUCCGCACCGUAAACGAUGGAUGCCCGCUGUUGGUCUGAAUAGGUCAGCGGCCAAGCGAAAGCAUUAAGCAUCCCACCUGGGGAGUACGCCGGCAACGGUGCAACUCAAAUGAAUUGACGG
rnacentral:rRNA from 2 species